CACCUCUCUCUCUCUCACACACUUAAUGCAAGACUUUCAUGUCUAUCUCUCUCUAGCAAAUUAUCAUCAUUAAAUGUUACUCUAACUAAACUAGUCAUAAAUCCAUCAUCAUUAUCAUCAUUUAAUCAUCAUAUCAAAUAAUCAAGUUUUCAAGUGCAAGAAAUCUUGUUUUAUAGCUUAUAUUCGGAUUUUUAGCUUUGGUGGAGUUUUGGUCGUGAGCAUUGAAGAUCCUUGAACGUUUGUAGCUCAUUGAAUAAUUGUAACUCAAUCUUAAAUUGCUCGUAACCGGCGAAGGUGAACAGAUUAACCAAAGACGUAUUGGAUGAUUAUUUGCUUAAAAGAGCUAGGAUUGAACUUGAACUUGGACUUCAUGGAUCCGUGAUUCAUAGUUCCCGAUUAUGGGUUAUGCUUAGGAUCAUUUACCAUCUUUUGAACUAUUAUUUUGUAAACGUUUGAUGGGCGUGCUCCUUAUGCAUUUUUGUAUGAUCCGGUAUUUGUAAUUGAAUGAUUUGUAUGGAUUUCCAAUCCUUUGUAUGCAUUAGUUUGGAUCUACUUAA